UAUUCAAAAAAAUAUUGAAAGCAAUUUCUAUUUUAUGCAUAUUUACACACAUUCAUAUAAAAAAUGCUUAAUUACACGCAGCAAGCGCUUAUUGCGGAGUAAAAGCAAUGGGAAAAGAAUUAGUGAAAUUAAUUGCAGGCCACGUACAAAACGCGCGAAUUUUUUUACCGAUUAUUGCACUCUUUUUUUUCUCUGAUUUUAACAACGUCUAUUACUUUAACUGAUUUUUUGUCUUUUUUUGUUUGUAAUAAUAAUUCCUCUUUUUAAAUAAAAAGAAUCAGUUAUAUUAUAGUUUAAAUUAAAUAUUUUCUCAAUCGAUAUUUAAACUCUAUCACUAAUUGUCUAAAAAGAAGCCAUCAGUUGAAUUUUUUAAUUGUAAUUUACCUAAGUCUUUGAAAUUACUGAAUCUAAUAAAAUCCGAUUGUGUACUGAUAAUCCGAAUUAAUUAAUUUUAUAUUAACAAUUUUAAAUGGAGAUUUUAAUAAUCAAUUUUUAAAAGUUUUAACAAGAGAGAGGAAGAGACGUAGCUAAUACUGCUAUAAUAGUAGACUGUCGAGACAGUGCCAUGCGAUUAAUUAUUUCUCUCCUUCCACAAGCAGAUGUAGCAAGUGGCAAAUAAUUAAUUAACACACAUUUCUCUCACUUUUUGUCUCCUUCUCUCUAUUUCCCUUAUUUAUGCAUUUCAGUGCUGCAUAAAUAAUGUCGCAGUUACUGCAGUUAACUAAUCUCGGUGAAAUAAGGCCACGAAUUAUUCACAUUGGAAAAUCAGCUGCUUAUACCCGAAGAUUCGAAAUCGUUCUCCAAGAAAGUCCAGGUGCGGUGGUUAAAAAUACAUGACGGGUCGUGAGUUGGAUGACAAGCGUCAGUCGUUGCGGUGCCUAGCGAAUAAGCGGCAUGCAUAGACGACGACGGAUAUGUGCGUGCAUGAAGAUAAUAUAGACAGGAGGGAUAUUCGUGACGGGUCCGCGAGCAAUAUCGCGGUACCAAGGUAGCCCACGGCGAAUACGGCACGCAAGAGGCAUGAAGAAGAAGAGAAGAGUGUUAUCUACUCGUGAUAGGAAAAUUACAGGCUGGCUGGUGGCCCUCGGGCACGUCAUGAGUGAAUGUUGGAGGAGAGUCUAAGGGAGACAACGAAUACGACGACGACAACAACGAGACAACGAAAAAAAGGCUACGUUCGAGUACAACUUUU